rnacentral:lncRNA from 1 species
CCCGUUAGAAGGUUAAUUUUGACGAAAAAUUCCUCCUUCUCCAACGGUCAUCUUCCCCACCUUUAAAUAAACCAUUAUUUCUUCUUCCCCACCAUUAACCCUUGUUCCUUUUAUUAAAAAAAUCACAAUUUCCUCUCAAAAUUAAGUAGGGUUUAGUUGUUAAUGUUCAUUUCUACUUCAAAUCUUGAAUUUAGGGUUUGUAAUCUGCUCUAAUUUCUUAUUUAGGUCUCUAAUUCGAAUUUUAAAUUUUCUCGAAAUUCAUCAAAAAUGGCAAAUGAAAACUUGAAUAAGCUUUGUAUGGAUGAAUCAGACCCAAUGCUCAAUGCUGUAGUGAGAUGCAAACACGAAAUUUUGCUGAAUUUGCAAACUUCUUGGUCGAAAUUAAAU